GGAAGUGAUAGAUGAACAGGCAGAGAAGAGUAGAGCAGGGGAAGCCAGCCCAUCACUAUUCAAUAUGCACCCCCCUACUCCCCACGACCUCUGCUAAUGAUGAUGAACUGAGCAAAGGAGCUUCAGAGUGACAGAAGUGUUUCCUGAUAGUUCCUGGGACCUGCCCUAGCCUGACCUAACUUCCUGGUGGGGAUCCAGUCCCAAUGUCAGCCCCACCUCUGGACCAUGUUCCCAUCCCAUUCUCAGUGAAAAACCCUGAGUUGUGAGCGAAGACAGUCAAUGCUGGACAGAAGGCUUCAGGUGACACCUGUUCUAGAUGUCCUCUCCUUUAAGAGAGUCUUUAUAUAUCAAGAUGCCUCAACAUAAUACCUUUACUGUACACAGGUAAAAUAUAAAACCGUCUUCUAAGACCAGUGUGUGUGUGUGUGUGUGUGCACGCGUGCGCGCCUCUGUUUCUUCGCUUUGGGCUUCUCAAGCACCAGGACUGAGUGGUUCCCAAGUAGCCUGGCACCUGGCACGUAGCAGCACCCAGCUGGACAGGCUGGACCUUUUCAAACUUGGAGGCAUCACUCAUUUGGACACUUGCACUGGGCAAUUAGCAAAAUAUCCCUGGUUAAAAGAUGGCAACCAAUAAGCAUCAGAUGAAAGGAACCCUCAAAGAGCAAAAUAUAAGGCCGUAGGAAUGAGCGCCACAGACUCCAGCGUCAGCCGUUAGGCAGAGCCAGAGACAGGAUUCGGGGCAUGUCCGUCAGUCAAAAAACUUUUGAUGAGGGUCCUAGGCUUAGGUGCUGUGAACCUCCCCGGGGGAAUCUUCCAGUCCCCGCUCCUUACUUCCAGCAGGAUGGCACCAGAUACCCCAGAGACACACCACACCCCUUUCCCCAAGGUCUCAAAAUGCCCACCUCAGGAAGUUCUUCCUGUUGUCCAGCUUGAAUUCUUCCAGUCAGACUUUAAACCAGACAAAAUGGCCCAUGAGCAUAAAACAGUUUUUACAUUUCUAAAUGAAUAACCCACACUUGAAAAUAGGGAUAUUUAAUUAAAGUACAAUUUCUGACUUAUUUUGAAAAGUUGGAAUGAUCUGGCCACGCUGGGCGCACACUCCCACAAGACACUGUCAUUGGCUGGGGGUUCUCCCCAGCACAAACCCCUAUGUGGGCAUUUGGUGACAUGGUGCUCCUUUGGGCUCUCUGCCUUGUCCCUUGGGGUAACAAGUGAUCUGUUGUCACCCAUCUAACUAAGCCCUCCGUGAACCCCUCAGGCUCCCUCCAGGCCAUGCUGUCCUGAUGGGCUGUUAAGGCAGGAGGGGCCGCAGUGUCCCGCACCCUCAGAGCUGGCGGGUGGGCACUGAGAACGCCGAGCAGCCUGCAAGCUCUGACUCAGUUUGUCCUUCAGUACACACCCCCAAAAUGGCUGCAGGGCAUCGGAUCUGGGUCUGGAGAAGAGAAUUUUUCUGCAAGGGAUGUUGACGGCCCAUUCCAGACAACUUCCCAAGGCCUGCUCAGCACCAGCUCUCACCGAGUGAGACACACUCCAAAUUUAUGCCCAAAUCUAAACAGAGAGGCAUGUUAAGGUUCUUAUCCCAGUUCUUUUCAUUAUAAAUCCUACUACGAGGACAACCAAAGGGAAGCUAUCCUUAAACUUUUAUUUAAAAGCUGGGGAGGGGAGGAAGGAGUAAAAAUCUCUGCAAUCAGAUUUUUCUCACAUUCAGAUUUGUUCCUGAUUAACUGUUAACGGCUCGUUCAGCCUGCUGUAUAACAACUGUGCAAAGAUGCAUACAUUUACCACCUGCUGGCCUUUUCGAUGUUCAUUAUGAAUUUAAUUAUUAUUAAGUACCCACAGUGUGCCAGGUGCUAAACAGCAGAUGAGAGGCGGGACGGAUGAAGGCUCCGUGUCAGCUGCUAAUACAUCCGCUCAGCUACUAGUUCCCAGGCCUUGCAGCCGGAUCCUGCAGAGCCAGCCCCGUGUCUUGGGGCCUUCAGAUACCUCCUCUGUGGGUCAGGGGCGACUGAGGAGGGCCUGUCCAUGGAUUCUCAGGCAUUGGGAGGUGUCUGCAGGUGACGGGGCCUUUGCAGGCACCCUACAGCUUGCCAGGCAGCUGGUCAGCAGCAACCAGUGCCAGACAGGUGACAGGAGAGCAGAGGGCUGGGGGAAAGCCAAAUCUACGCCCCACAAACCCAAAAAAGGAGCCCGAAGCCUAGGAUCUGUACAAAGCAUGUGUACCACACCUUGUAUUGCAGGGGCGAAGAACCCAGGAAGAACAUUCCAGGCAUCUGUGUUCUCUGCCUACAUCUGGAAGGUUCCUCUGUCUAAGAUAGCCAGGUGCCCAGGCUAGCCCAUAAAGGCCUAGUAACACAGCAUGUGUCUGAGAUAGACCUAAGUAACUUUGAGCAGCCAGGCCCAUCUUGAGCCCCUUUAAACCCUUCUGAGCUUUAAGCCCCACCUGCCUCCUCCUGAGCCCACCAGCGGGGAAAGUGGGGAGGGGAAGAAAGGAGAGCCAGCUCUGCUUAGGAACCCACCAUUUCCCACAAGGUUGGUUGUGGGUCCAGCCACGGGAACUAACCGUGGGCUGAGCUCUCUGCGCCAGUCUGAGGAAAGCUCAGCGUCCCCCUCAGGCAGGGGCAGGUGAGGGGGCAGGAUGAGAGCUCUGGCCUCGGCAGAGGUGAGGGUGCACUGGGAGGAGGACGGGCGGGGGGACUGCACUUUUCUCCAGUUCUCAGUGAGUUCUGGCGAGUCUGAUCUAAGCGGAAACACAAUCAAUCUGGGAAGAAACGCUCCGGGGGGGCGCCCCAUGGCCAGGGCGAGGGUGGGGAGGUGGCCCCAGGCAGGGCUGGAGUGUUAGUGUCACUGGCAGGCGGAGGGAGCAGCAAAGACUCAAAAACACCAGGAGGUGGAAAAUGCAGUUGAUGAGAUGAAUUUUUUCAAAAUGAUAUCUGUGGUUUUUUUCUGAUUAUAAAAGGAAUUCAUGCUGCUGCCUGAAUUUUUUGAUAAUGAGACUCUAUUCAUGUAUUACUUGCAUAAUAAUAAUAAAUUUUAGCCAGACACAUAAAAUAAAUAUGGACCUAUUGAAUUUGGAAAAAAAUGUAAGUACAGAAAGCAGCAAAUGAGAGUUCCUCUACAACCCACGUUCAGUUCCACAGCCCACCCUCUAGAGCGUCCUAAAGCAUGUGCACGUUUCAGGGUCGCUGCAUGCAGGUCGACCGUGAUGACAGGCUAUCAUGGCAGGUGUUCAGCAGAGUAACAAGUCACCCUUUGUGCUCUGUGCUUUACACACAUCACCGCCACUCCUUACAGCAGCCCUGAAAGAGAAGUGCUAUUAUUCCCAUUUUUCAGAUGAGGAACCAGGCUCAGAGAGGUUGAGCUACUUACCCAAGGUCACACUGCGAGGAGGGGGCAGCCAAGAGUCAACCCUGGUCAGCCCUCCUCCAAGGCCUGGGCCCUUUCCACCCCAUCUCAUCCACAAUCCAGGAUGGCAACAAGAGGUGGGUAAAUUGCAUCUCAUCCAUUUCUUGAGUAAAACAUGAUGAUGACAAAAUGAUUGAAACGAUACUUGGGGAAACUUGUUUGAGUGGCUGAGAACAGGCGAGGCAGGUGCAGGAGAGAUGAGCAUCGAGGAGCCUAAUAGUGGGAUGGGCUGACUCUGGAAAAGGUAAGUGACUCCAGGACACUCUAGUGAGGAAGGAAAUGGCCGGAGUAGACAGAAAAAUGAAGGACUCCAGAGUCAGCCCACUCCAGGAUCUCCUGGGUCCACCACGUGAGUGGGCCGAGCAGGCUGGCAGGUCUGCGGUUGCUUCCCGGAUGGCGUGUCCAUCACUGGAACGGCUUCAUGUCCGUGGACGGGAAAAACCUCAUUCACCUAACUGAUACUUUGCAGCAAUAAAUGCUGCUUCUGUUACUUAAGUACCAAGGGAAGAGCAAAUGGCUGUUCGCCGAGGGGAAGACCAUUCCGCCGGGGACACCCAGGCCUCCUCCAGGAACUGCAGACAUUCUCUAGGAAAACAGCGAUCGUUUCCAACAGGCUGUACGCUUCUCCCUCCAAAAGGGGCAGACACUCCAGCCAGGCUGCUUUAGUGACAGGAAACUUACCUCACUCAGAGCUGUUCUUUGAGAGGUGUAUUUUUUGUGGUUUUUGCUUUUAUUUUUCUCCUUGAGGGCAAGUCCUAGUCACCAGGCAUAAGACAGCGCGAGCGCCUGGUCCUGGCUCCUCGGAGGGGUCACUGCUCGGCCUCAGUGUCGGUGACUCAGUCCAGGCCGACACCGUCCCUCCGAGGCAGAGCUCAUACUCUGCAGAGUGAAACGAUUUAUCAAAAUCAGUGACACGAGGGACCCCGGGAGGAGACAAGCAGAGCACAGGAGAGGUCUUCACGCUAUGGAAGGAAGUGGGAAUGUUCUGGAAAGCUGCUGCUGAGGGGGCACAUCCAUAAAUCAGACCACGUUUCUCAGCAACUGGCCUGCAUCACCUUCAUUUCUUGGGAUCCCAAAUGUUGGUGCCUCCUGGCCGGGCCUCCACUACAGACUGGCCCUGCUGGCCAGGUGGGUCUGAGGGUCCUCCUCCAGGUGCCCCAGCCAUGGGAGUGAGGUGACGUGGGGCACGGGAGGAGAUCUGCGUAGGGAGGAAGAGACCAGUGCUAGCCCAGCUUUGCCAUGAACUCACUGUGUGACUCUGAGGAGGUCACUUCACCUCUCUGGGCUUUCACCUCAUUUCUCAAGUGGCUCGGGCAUCUGUUACAAUGCCAAACUUGUGGUGCUUAACGCCUUGUGCUGGCACCUCUGUGGACUGUUCUCAGGGUGACCUCACAAAGCAGGGUAGGUGUGGGGAGAAGGGAGGUCCCUUCCUCCCCUCCAGUCCCCUUGCCAGAUGGUGAUGAAGCCGGGAGCCAUCAUGGGGGGAAGUUGGAGUGACUCUGUCAGGAAGGCAGAAGAGGAGGCAUGGAUAUUUUGGUAAAGCAUCUGGGGGCAGUUCUGGUGUGUCCUAGGACCCCUUGUCUGUUCUGGAUGACCCAAGGUCACUUAAAGCUCUAACACUGUGGAUUCUGAGACCAUCAUUAAAAGCCCGAGGGUCCAGGGAUGUUCAGGUUGCAGAGAGCCCAACGAUAGAAACCCUCAGCAACACAGCAACGAAAGUGGCAACGCAGCCCUGCGUGGAGCCCGAGCCUACAAGACUGAUGUCCCGGCACACGACGAGGGGCAGCCCUCUUUGCAUGGGAGAGUACGCCAUGUCUGUCUGUAACAUUUGCCCCUUGUCCCACUCAUCUUAGAGCACGAUGCGACAGGAAAUGAUGAAGACAUUUUGCAUCUGCUUCCAUGGAAAGCUCCUCCUGGCUCCUCCAGAGCCAGCUUGUUCCUGCAACAUCUUCCGCCCGCAGCUCCCUUUCAGAUCUGCUGUAAAGUCCUUUCCUUCAGCAACCAGGAGUUACCCAGCUGUCCUGCUGGGCCCCACCACCCUGCAGUGAGAGGGUACAAGAUUCCCAGGGGCAGCUCAGGUAUCAGAAAUGCACUGCAGAAUCCUUCGAGCUCUGUUAAUGGCACUAUUUCACGUGAUUUAUCUGGAAUGGUUUGUAACCUCGCCUAGAUAUAUGCGAUUAAUAGCUAACUCCUGCACCCUUAUACUGAGCUUCUGUUUUAUAGGACAUGCUCAAAUGUCUGCUGAAAGAAUAAAUCAUUAACACCUGUCUAAUUGCCCCCUCUUUUGUCCGGAGGGUAGUUAGUAAAGUUCAAAUCGGUUCAGUUGAACUGUGCUUACAAAGACUCCUAGCAUAAGGAAGUCCACUUUCGGACAGCCUCAACCAGUUUUCUUGCAAAUUUCAAAAGUCCCUUUCUUUAGCCCUAGAAAUUAGGGUUGCCAGAUAAAAUACAGGACGCUCAGUUAAAUUUGAAUUUCAGAUAAACAACAAAUAAUUUUUUAGCGUAUGUCCCAAAGAUUGCCUGAAACAUACUUAUCAGUUUCCUGUGGCUGCUGUGACAAAUUACCACAAACUGAGUUGCUUAAAACAACAGAUAUUUAUUCUCUCAUAGCUCUGGAGGUCAAAAAUCCAAAAUCAGUAUUACUGGGCCAAAAUCAAGGUGUUGGCAGGGCCGUGCUUCCUCUGGAAGCUCUAGGAAAAAAUCCUUUGCUUGCCCCUUCCAGCUUCUGGUGGUUGUUGGCAUCCACAUCACUGCAAUGUCUGCCUCCAUCAUUACGUCGUCUUCUCUGCCAUGUUUUUGAUCUCUCUGCCUUGCUCUUCUAAAGAUACAUGCGACUGCAUCUAGGAUCUGCUCAGAUAAAUCAGGCCAAUCUCAUCCCAAGAUCCUUAAUUUAAUCCCAUCUGCAAAGACCGUUUUUCUGCAUAAAGUCACAUUCACAGGUUCUGGGCAUUAGGAGCUGGUAUCUUUGGGGGACAUUAUAUUGACUACCAUACUUAUACUAAAAAAAAAUUUAUUGUUCAUCUGAAAUCCAAAUUUAACUAGGCAUCCUCUGUUUUACUUUGCUAAUUCUGACAGCACUGCCUGAGCCUGAGCCUCUUGAGAUGGCAGGGACUGAAACGGUGUGUCUUCAGCUGCUCACCACCCUUCCUGGUAUGUGCAUGGGGACCAGGCCAGAGACUCAAGUCUCAUCAUCAAAAUCUGUUGUCUCUGAAGUGGGGCUCAUGAUAUACAGUGGCAUUCCAGUUUUCAGGAGAAUCUAAAGGUUUGGAUUGAUCUGAAGAUUUAACUUUUUAAAAGGUUAUGACAAAUAGUGCAUGCAUUUCCAUUUUUGGCACUGGAAACUCCAAAUGCAGACCUGUACCCCUCCACCCUCCAGGAAAGGAGAAGGAUGAACAAACAUACAAGUUACGUACCUGUUCCCCUUUCUGUUCUCAACUCUCUUUAAGAAAGGCGUUAAGUUUUAAUCAGUGUUGAAUUCACUUACCCAUUUAUUCAGUCACUAAACAAUUACAGAAUGUGCCAUGUGCCGUGCCAGGCAUUAAGGAUACAAAGAUGAAUAAAACAUCGCCCAACAGAUGGAUGCUUUAGGGAGCGUGGUUCCCUGGGGAAGCCCCAAAUAGUGGAAUCAGAUAAAGUUGUGGAAAUUAAACACAAAAUAAUGGGUGCUACUAAGGUAAAAGCAGAAAAUUUUAAUCAAUUUGCUUAGAGACUAGUGGUAUAGAGAGAAACCCAACUAAUUCACUAAUUAUCUUUAAAUUCUAGCAACCAUUUUUAGCCUAUAGUUACGGAAAAAGUAACUUGCAUUACAAAAUGUGUUACUUAGCCAGGUCUGCCUUAACAUGAUGGAGAUUUUUCCUUUUUCCAGGUCUUCUGGAUCCCUGGAAAUGGGGGUGAUGGGGAGACAAGUCCUCUGGCCCCAGCAGUCACACUCUGGGGCCUCCACCUCCUGGGAGACCUGGCAGGGCAAGCCCACCGGUUCAGCCCAGAGCAGGGCUGCCUGACUCAGUCAUCUCUCCCUUCACCUGUGGCUGCCUCCUGCUCCCCAUUCCUAGGGCACAGGGAAUGCACACAAAUUAUGUCCUCUCCCCCAAAUACAUCUUAUGCUGAAGAGGGUUUUUUUAAGAGGAAAAAGGAAUCUGUUCAUUUAUGUAUCGUAAGGUAUAAGACCUCAAGGUAGAAAUUCCAGGUCUCUGCCCUAUCAAAAAAAAAAAAAAAAAAAAAAAUCCAAAACUUUUUCCUUUGUCCUUGGGAGAAAGAGAGCAGCGUCUCCUGUUUCCCCCUUGCCCAGGCACUGGCAGUUUAACAAACAGCAGGACCCCUCAGGCUAAUGAAUGGAAAAGCCAGGUGAAGCUUGCCCUGGAGAGCAGCAGCCCAGGCUUGAGAAGCAGAAGUUGUCGCCUGUUCGAAUCCCCUGUCGGCCUCAGACUAGCCAUGUGGUUUCAGGCAUCACGUAACCUCCCUGAACCUCAGUUUCCUAAUCUGUUCUUAACUCACAGGUUCGUGUCAAGAAUUAAAGGAGAUAACGUCAACAGUAAAGUACUACCUGCUUGUUAGUAAUUUGGGGAAUGAGGAGAUCUCGCAGCAUCCUGAGAUCACCCCAUGUAGCUACCCGAAUGUGGGGCCACCCCCGUGCCUGUGUUUAAAGUGCUCCCAUGCCACUCCCCUCUCCCAAACACCUAGAGGCUGAUGUCCAAAUAAGAGCAUUAAAGUAGCUCAGAUUUUUAAUUGAGACUGACCAUUCCCUAAUUAGUCCAAAUUAGAACAAUAUUAAUGUAUCCAGAAAGCCAGGCUGUCCCAAGCGUUCUUUGUAAACUUUGGGCCCACUGGGGACAGAGUUUGUUCCACCAGAGGGUGGCAAUCCCAGGAGACUCAGUAGUGGAGACCCAGUGAUGUGGGAUCCGGUGUCCAUUGUGUGGCCAUAGCCCUUGACGAUGAGGUCCCUGCGCCCGGGGGCACAGAUGCGGCCAGCAUGCCCUGGGCUGUCCACUGGGCGACUGAGAGAGUUGCCCCUGCCCAGCAUCCUUAUGGUCCUCAGUUGCAUCCAGGGCUGUGUGCACACCCCGCAGCUCACGCCUGGAUCCACGGGAGCUCAGCAGGCCUGUGUUCAGUGCCGAGACCAACAAUGUUCCUCCAGUUCCGUCAGGUUGGGGUGCUUUUAAGAAUUUUCUUGAAGAACUACUCACCCUAAAUACAAUUUAUAGACUGAAAUGAUCCCUGCCCACCCAGCACCCCAAAUCCAACAAAACAGACUCUUGGGCGGGCUCUUAUAUACGGUAUCCAGGCUUUAUAGCCGGUGGGUUUUUAAAAAAGGUUGGGGGAGAAGGUGAGAGGCAAGAAGAGAACUGAGAACUGACUCUUGUUUUAGUUAGAUGGAAGAGUGGCUGUGGGAAACGUAUUUCAAUACCAUAAGAGAGCCCAGUGAGGCUGCAGAUUCUAGUAAUGCAGUAUGCAUAACCCCAGCCUCAUCUGUGUGAGCCCCUCGCUUCUCGGCUCCCCAUCACUCCCCGUGCUUCUGCUCCUGGAGUGCGGGCCACAGUGCUGUAGACAUGGGGGAAGUAAAGUGGAUUGUUGAGUAAAGGGGAUGGGCAGUACCGCAGGAGGCUGGGGGACGCAGGCUGACCCCCCACACUGUGACCCUUUUCCCUAACAGCAGGGGCUUGCUUGCCUGCCUUGCUCAGGGAACCCACCCUUCUGAAUUCCAUUUCUUCCCGUAGACACUGCCUGGGAACCUGAACAUCAUCUUCCCUGAGUUCACACACUGGGCUCCUCUUGGCCACAAUUUCCAGCCAUCGGUCACACAUACCCUCCAUGGAAGUGCGGUGGGUGAGAACGUUUUUCAUGCUUUGUAUGAGCUGGAAAUAAAAUGAGCUUCUCUACCUGAUAAGCGUGGACCUGCCCAGGACGCUAAAUUUGGUUCUGCCGUCACCGGCGACAUGAAGCAGGAGCCCAGUUUAGCGGCUAGCUUUCGGUUUAACAUACUUUCUCCAGGCUCAUGUUACCCACGAUCCAUUCAUAGGAGCUGAGGGCACAGCUUCUCCGGUCAUUAGUACUAAAGACAUGUCUGUUGGCCUGGAUGGUGGAACCAGAGUGGAGGCGCAGCGGGCGCAGAGGCAGGAAGGCACAGGGGGCAGGGAAAGCACGCUCCGGCCCCCUCCCCAGCUGUGAAAUCUCGGGGCCUCAGUUUGCUCCUCUGCAAAAUGAGGAUGAUAAUCCCUACCUGGCGGGGGAGUGAGGGUUAAAUGAGGCAAUGUUUUUAGUAAAAUAAAUGCAACCUGCUACUUCCAUUAUUAUCAGCCUCUUCACACAGUAAAAUCAAUCUAGACCAACAGGGAGUGUGUUAAGUUGGUCUGAAGUAGGGCAAAGCAACAAUUAUAGAAUAUCUUAAAGGAAAUGUGAUUUUUAUUUUCAAGUAUAUGGAGCAACAGAACCGUGUACUAGUAAGUAGAGAACUUAUAUUAUUUAAACAGGUAAAACUCAUCUGAUGUCAGCCUGUUUGAUUUAUUAGCAUCCAACUGCAUGAAUCAAGAGUAAUUAUUAUUUUUUUUUUAAAGAUUUUAUUUUUUAUUUUUUUUCCUCUUUCUCCCCCAAGC